AAUAAAUUGAUGAUUGGGCUAAAUCCAACUGCUGGCCCAUCUGCAGGAAAUCUAUUGACUGAACUGCUGAAGGAUAAUUCAUAAUUCCCAUUGAGACAUUUGUUCUAUUUCAGUUGGGAACAGCAAUUGAAUUUAGACUAAUGUGUACAUUCCUGUCUUCUCUACUACAAACUGAUUAAUAGAUUGUAACUAGUCCUCUGCAAACUCCUGACUGUAGAAAUCCAUUGGAUAUAAUAUGCUUUAUUGAGGCUAUUGCAGAGAAAAAAAUCCUUGGCAGCAUAAAUUACUCACUUAACAAACUUUUUUUACAUUGUCUACUUUCAGAUGGAACGUAGUAGUUUCAAACACAAUUAGCCUAACAUUCCUGAAGUAGUUUAGACAGUAUUAAAUGAAGCUGAGAAUAUUUAAUUAUCUCUCACACUUUGUUUAGAAAUAUAUUACUGUCUCCUCAGUUACUGUCAGAUUGGUUUGUCCAAGAUAACAUUAGCUGCAUUAUGGGAUUCACUGAGAUUCAACAACCUUAGGUAAAUGCAUAAGCAUCUUAGUUUAGUUGAAGCACAAUUAGAUUAUCCUCCUCGAAUAUUGCUGUAUUAACACAUGGCCUGAAUUGUAUUAAAAUGUGUUUUUAAAUUAUACUUUUGCCAUUGUAUUAAAUGGGUAAUUGCUGUAGUUGUGUUUAGCAUUUCAUUUUAGUUCUCUUUGUUGGAAGGUUAUGUACCCUACUUUGUCCUCCUUAUUUUAAGGUGUCUCCUGGCUUUGAGGAAGAGGCAGGAUAUAUAUAACUCAGCACAAUGUACUAUAAUACAUCACAAGGUGUCCCUAUUUGAAGAGCUUUCCCAUCCACUUGAAAGGAGACUCAAAGUGGCUAUCUUCAACUGUAUCCUCAUGGUCCAUUCUGAGGUGGAGUGAGCAGAGCUAGAGAAGGUCCUAAGAGUCUUUAAAUCCAUAUUAUGGUCUCUGGAAUAGGACAUUUGCCACCCAGCACCAUCCAAGAGAGGCAAAGAACAUCAGCACCAGCAAGCCUGGAGGAAAAGGCAGUGUUUGUCUGCUGCAGGCUGCCUUUGACUUCAGCUCCUGGUGACUGGCUCCUUGCAGACUCAGGCCCUGACUGCCUGGCUGAAGCAAGGCCCAGCAGAAAUACCUGCUGCCUCCAGAGCCUGGGCCAUAAAAGGAGGAUGCCGGCGGGGGUCCAGUCACCCAGUACCUUCCAAGAGAGCCACAGAAGACCUUAA
rnacentral:lncRNA from 1 species